UCGAGUAUUUUCGUCCUUCGGGUACAAUUGAGACAGGUGGUGCAUGGUUGUCGUCAGCUCGUGUCGUGAGAUGUUGGGUUAAGUCCCGCAACGAGCGCAACCCUUGUGUUUUAGUUGCAAACAGGUCAAGCUGUGCACUCUAGACAGACUGCCGUGGACAACACGGAGGAAGGUGGGGAUGACGUCAAAUCAUCAUGCCCCUUAUGAUCUGGGCUACACACGUGCUACAAUGGCCGGUACAACGGGCAGCGAAGAAGCGAUCCGGAGCGAAUCCUAAAAAGCCGGUCCCAGUUCGGAUUGCAGGCUGAAACUCGCCUACAUGAAGUUGGAGUUGCUAGUAAUCGCGAAUCAGAAUGUCGCGGUGAAUGCGUUCCCGGGUCUU
rnacentral:rRNA from 1 species